AGAGUUUGAUCCUGGCUCAGAACGAACGCUGGCGGCAGGCUUAACACAUGCAAGUCGAGCGCCCCGCAAGGGGAGCGGCAGACGGGUGAGUAACGCGUGGGAAUCUACCUUUUGCUACGGAAUAACUCAGGGAAACUUGUGCUAAUACCGUAGGUGCCCUUCGGGGGAAAGAUUUAUCGGCAAAGGAUGAGCCCGCGUUGGAUUAGCUAGUUGGUGAGGUAAAGGCUCACCAAGGCGACGAUCCAUAGCUGGUCUGAGAGGAUGAUCAGCCACACUGGGACUGAGACACGGCCCAGACUCCUACGGGAGGCAGCAGUGGGGAAUAUUGGACAAUGGGCGCAAGCCUGAUCCAGCCAUGCCGCGUGAGUGAUGAAGGCCCUAGGGUUGUAAAGCUCUUUCACCGGUGAAGAUAAUGACGGUAACCGGAGAAGAAGCCCCGGCUAACUUCGUGCCAGCAGCCGCGGUAAA
rnacentral:rRNA from 1 species